rnacentral:rRNA from 1 species
UACGUAGGGGGCUAGCGUUGUCCGGAUUUAUUGGGCGUAAAGAGCGCGUAGGCGGCCAGGUAGGUCUGCUGUGAAAACUCGAGGCUCAACCUCGAGACGUCGGCGGAAACCAUCUGGCUAGAGUCCGGAAGAGGAGAGUGGAAUUCCUGGUGUAGCGGUGAAAUGCGCAGAUAUCAGGAAGAACACCCGUGGCGAAGGCGGUUCUCCGGGACGGUACUGACGCUGAGACGCGAAAGCGUGGGGAGCGAACAGG